GAUGAAGAACGCAGCGAAAUGCGAUAAGUAAUGUGAAUUGCAGAAUUCAGUGAAUCAUCGAAUCUUUGAACGCACCUUGCGCCCUUUGGACAUUCCGAAGGGCAUGCCUGUUUGAGUAUCAUGAACACCUCAACUCUCACGGCUUGUCCGUGAUGAGCUUGGACUUUGGGGGUCUUGCCGGCCUGUGGUCGGCUCCUCUCAAAUGGAUCAGCUUGCCAGUGUUUGGAGGCAUCACAGGUGUGAUAACUAUCUGCGCUUGUGGUUUUCCAUCAGAUAACCUUCAGUGAUAUGGAGGUUCGCUGGAGCUCACAAAUGUCUCUCCUUAGUGAGGACAGCUCUUUGAACGUUUGAUCUCAAAUCAGGUAGGACUACCCGCUGAACUUAAGCAUAUCAAUAAGCGGAGGA
rnacentral:misc_RNA from 1 species